ensembl:lncRNA
GGUGUGUGCAGUAGUUGGAGGCUCAUUUAUGAUGCUGUCCCCAGGGCCCAUGCCACAGGUGCUCGCCUACCUUAGGUGAAACAUGAGGAUAAGAAGGGGAAUAACUGUGUCCUGAAUUUGGAAGUGGAAAUGACUGUAAGGAUCUAUUCCUUUUAAUCUGAUGGCAAGGAAGUGCUGCUACCCUUUCAGUUCUCCCAGAUUCGGCUUAAAAGGAUUGUUCAGAAUAAUUCUUUUCUAAUGCUGUUAUAAACUGUACUCAGCCUUACAAGAGUUCAAGAUUAUAGGCUCUGGUGUGUGAUUAGAAAUUAUAUUAAUAAGAGAAGGAAGACAGACUAGUCAAGGACCAGCCCUCUUGUUUGUAUCAGAUGUAUAUCUGAUUUUAAACCAAGAAAAUGGCUCCAAAAAUGAUCAACUGGACAACUAAAAAAUUGGACAAUUUAAACUGUUUGAAGGAAUUCCUGCUUUCCCCCUCUCUUUUAACAAAUGAAACCUGAAAUCUUGUAAAAGAAUAAGACAAGCUUUUUUCCUUUUUUUGGUGGGAGGUUCUGCAGCACUUCAGUCUUUAACUGAACAUUAUGCUUACUUGAUAUUUGUGCCCAGUGGAAAUAAGAGUUGGCUUGUGGUGUUACCAGUACAAAAGUAAUUACUUCUCGGAUCAACUGCAAAUAUGUGCAGGUUGUAGAUGGGGGAGCCAUGAAUGAAAGAGAGAGGCGAUUGUACUGUGGAGGACUGCAGAAGACAAGGAUUAAUGGCGAGUAGAAUAGUAUUUUGGUGUUCUUUCAGUAACGUUACAAUCUCUCUGAAAGUGAAUGCUGCUAACA